rnacentral:lncRNA from 1 species
CUGGGCGGGUUAGUACACACACACACCCUUCUAACUGGGCGGGUUAGUACACACACCCUUCUAACUGGGCGGGUUAGUACACACACACACACCCUUCUAACUGGGCAGGUUAGUACACACACCCUUCUAACUGAGCGGGUUAGUACACACACCCAUCUAACUGGACAGGUUAGUACACACACACACACCCUUCUAACUGGGCGGGUUAGUACACACACACACACCCUUCUAACUGGGCGGGUUAGUACACACACCCUUCUAACUGGACAGGUUAGUACACACACACACCCUUCUAACUGGGCGGGUUAGUACACACACACACCCUUCUAACUGAGCGGGUUAGUACACACACCCGUCUAACUGGGCAGGUUAGUACACACACACACCUUCUAACUGGGCGGGUUAGUACACACACCCUUCUAAACGAGCGGGUUAGUACACACACCCUUCUAACUGGGCAGGUUAGUACACACACACACCUUCUAACUGGGCGGGUUAGUACACACACACACCCUUCUAACUGGACAGGUUAGUACACACACCCUUCUAACUGGGCGGGUUAGUACACACACACCCUUCUAACUGAGCGGGUUAGUACACACACCCUUCUAACUGGGCAGGUUAGUACACACACACACCCUUCUAACUGGGCGGGUUAGUACACACACACACCCUUCUAACUGGGCGGGUUAGUACACACACACACCCUUCUAACUGGGCGGGUUAGUACACACACACACCCUUCUAACUGGGCGGGUUAGUACACACACCCUUCUAACUGGACAGGUUAGUACACACACACACCCUUCUAACUGGGCGGGUUAGUACACACACCCUUCUAACUGGACAGGUUAGUACACACACACACCCUUCUAACUGGACAGGUUAGUACACACACCCUUCUAACUGGACAGGUUAGUACACACACACCCUUCUAACUGGACAGGUUAGUACACACACACACCCUUCUAACUGGGCAGGUUAGUACACACACACACCCUUCUAACUGGGCGGGUUAGUACACACACACACCCUUCUAACUGGGCGGGUUAGUACACACACACCCUUCUAACUGGGCGGGUUAGUACACACACCCUUCUAACUGGACAGGUUAGUACACACACACACCCUUCUAACUGGACAGGUUAGUACACACACACACCCUUCUAACUGGGCGGGUUAGUACACACACCCUUCUAACUGGACAGGUUAGUACACACACACACCCUUCUAACUGGGCAGGUUAGUACACACACACACCCUUCUAACUGGGCGGGUUAGUACACACACCCUUCUAACUGGACAGGUUAGUACACACACCCUUCUAACUGGACAGGUUAGUACACACACCCUUCUAACUGGGCGGGUUAGUACACACACACACCCUUCUAACUGGGCGGGUUAGUACACACACCCUUCUAACUGGGCGGGUUAGUACACACACACACCUUCUAACUGGGCGGGUUAGUACACACACACACCCUUCUAACUGGGCGGGUUAGUACACACACCCUUCUAACUGGGCGGGUUAGUACACACACCCUUCUAACUGGACAGGUUAGUACACACACACACCCUUCUAACUGGACAGGUUAGUACACACACACACCCUUCUAACUGGACAGGUUAGUACACACACCCUUCUAACUGGGCGGGUUAGUACACACACACACCCUUCUAACUGGGCGGGUUAGUACACACACACACCCUUCUAACUGGGCGGGUUAGUACACACACCCUUCUAACUGGGCGGGUUAGUACACACACCCUUCUAACUAGACAGGUUAGUACACACACACACCCUUCUAACUGGACAGGUUAGUACACACACACACCCUUCUAACUGAGCGGGUUAGUACACACACCCUUCUAACUGGGCAGGUUAGUACACACACACACCCUUCUAACUGGGCGGGUUAGUACACACACACACCCUUCUAACUGGGCGGGUUAGUACACACACCCUUCUAACUGGGCGGGUUAGUACACACACCCUUCUAACUGGGCGGGUUAGUACACACACACACCCUUCUAACUGAGCGGGUUAGUACACACACCCUUC